CCUAAAAAAAACCAGUCACGAGCAUGCCAAAACCCCGAACAAUAAAACCGCGAAUAACCAUGAUUGGUCCAACACCUAAUAAAAUCUCCGAGAACCACGAUCACUAAAUACAAUCGCCCGAAAAACCUAAACAGAAUUGCAAAAGCACAAUCUGCAAUUGCCGAGAAUGCCGAAACAGAAUCGCAAAUCACCAUGGAUUCAAGAUCCCAAAGCAGCAACCAUGAAGAAAUCACAGAGACAUCAACCAAAGGCUUUCAAUAUGAAGAAAGGAAUUCGAGACAAAUACGAACGAGAAAUAAGAUUUCCAGAGCAAUCCAGUGGAGUGUUGCUUUUCAGCCAAAAUAACAAGGAUAUACAGAUAAACAAGAAGGUAAACUUACUAUGUUCCGACAAUCCUUUGUGUGUUGGCAUGAUCUUCACUCACUCCAAAGAUUCUGGCCAUACCAAAGUCCGAUAUUUUUGGAUUCAUUUCCUCAUCUAGUAAGAUAUUACUUGCCUUCAAAUCUCUAUGUAUGAUUUUUAGCCUGGAAUCUCUAUGUAGGUAGAGUAGUCCACGAGCGAUUCCUUCAAUUAUGUUGAAUCGCUUCUCCCAAUCCAAGAGUUUAUUUCUUGAAGGAUCUAUACAAAUUAAAACCAUGACAACAUAUAGAACUUAUCUGAAGAUGGAUCAAAAUCUUCUGGCUAGAAUCUAUUGUUAAAAACUUAUGUUAAAAACUUUCAAGAAAACUCACUAGAGGUGAAAAUAUUGUGAAUUCGUUUGUAAAAUAAAAUUAUUCACGAUUAAUGAAGUAAAUUACGAAAUGUUUCAAAAGAACUAACCGAAAAUAUAUGCAUCCAAACUUCCAUUUGUCAUGAACUCAUACAUCAACAUCUUUUCAUUUCUUUUGAUUCAACAGCCUAAAAGUCUUACAAGAUUGCGAUGUUGAAGCUUAGAAAUCACUACUACUUCAUUCAUGAAUUCUUCUAACCCUUGUCCGGAUGAUCUUGAAAGUCUCUUAACUGCUAUUUCUUUACCAUCAUCUUGCAGUAUUCCAUAUGAUAGAAUACAUAAAAACUUUUAAGCAACUAAUGACUUCAAACAACAUGAACUUCUCUCGAUUUUACAUACCUUGUAUACAGGUCCAAAACCUCCUUGUCCAAGUUUAUUCGAUGAAUGAAAGUUAUUCGUAGCAGUUGCAAGCUUUUCAAAAUUAAACAGCAAUAGCUCUUGUAGCUUAGCUUGUGACAAUUCACCAAUUACAUUUUCACUUGAGUGUUCCUCUGGUUUUUCGAUUUUGUGGAAAUGAAAAAUCCUAUGAUGCUUCUUUUUUCUCUCUGAAUCAUUCAAGUAUCACAGUUUAGCAGGAGUGGCAAAAAUCAAACAUGUGUUAUUCCAUAUUCCACAUCAAUGAUACUUACCUGGUUUCAAAGCCUUUAUCCAAAUGAAAUACGCAACAAUGAUGAUAACUCCUAUCGAAACUGAAACUGCAAUGAUGAUUGUUCGUUUAUGCCCUUUAUCUGUAAUAAGGGAUCGAUAAAAAAGUUAAAACAAUAAGGUCUGAUAAAGGAGAAUAUACUAAGUAACAUAACAACUAAUAUUACCUGAUACUUGAAGUUCGACAUAGGGUACGCGAAUGUAUAGAUCAGUUCCUCUGGAUUGAAAUUGUUGUAUAUCAAUUAGAUUUCCAUUCCAAGACAUACAACCAAUACUAGCCACGUACGUAUAUGCAGUACAAGAGCAAUUCAUCAAACACUGGUUUUUGCAUUCAUCUUGUUCAUUAGAUGACAAUUCUGCAAAAUCGGGUACUUUUACCGUCCUCAAAUGCAAAAAACUAUCGGUUUCAUUACCACGUGAACUACUGCUGCUUUGAUUUUUGGCUUCUUCACACUGUAAAAGUUUCUUCCUAACACAUCCAUUAGUCCAAUAUUUUUGAUUCCACUCUUGAAGGUUUCUUGCUUCAAACCCUUCCAAACAGCUACAAAUUGGCAACCCUUCUGAAUUACAAAUUCCAAAUGGACCGCAGAAACCAUAAACAUCACAAUCUGAUCUAUGAGUAGUCCAUGUAUCGUUCCAUUUCUCUUCCUCAUCACUCCAUGAGUUUUCAUGCAGUUCACCUUGCGGAUUCAAGGCAUAGAUCAAGAGUCCGUAGUCUUCUGCUUCGAAAGACAAAACAACGGUUCCACUCUUACUACUGUCUUUCUCAAACUUAAAACCGUUAAAAAUAAAAAGAGUUGCCAUGUCUUGUAUCCCUAUAAAGAUUUGAUUAUUCCAUGGACCGCUUCGCCAGUACGGCCUAGUUCCAUUCCAAAUGAAAACUUCUGGAAUAUUCAACAGUUUGAUACCGAUGGAGAAGCUUCCGUUUGAUGGAUCAGAAAGGGUUUUCCAUGAUACAAAACAAGGCUUCCAUAAUCUGAAAGUGUGAAACUAGAAUUGGUUUUUGAUGUAACAUUGGUCAAACUUGAUGACCAAAUAGCAUGUUUUUGUCCAUUCAAUACAACAAGAUUGCCAUCAUCAUUUGAUAU